rnacentral:lncRNA from 15 species
UGUUAAAUCAUUCUGCUAGCUAGAUCGAAGCCUUCACCCAAGCAAGCAAAAUAUCAGCAUCCAAGUCGGAUCUCUCAUCUCCUCCGAUCGAGAACUAAUAUCAGUCGCACAUCUUAACCAUAAGCUGAGCUCAUCAUGGCAUCGAAGACCAUUACCGCCCUGCUCCUUCUCUUCGCUCUCAUAGGCGCGGCGAGUGUGGAGGCUAUAAACUCUGGGAAUGAAGGGGACAGCGCGUUAGGCACGGCCAUGGAGGCUCUCACAAGUGACGAUGGCAUGGUGAAUGAAGAUGGUUCUGAUGAUGAUUGCUAUGACUGCGGCGGCGUACUUGACUAAAUAAUGAACGUGGCAUCUUGUAUUGGAGAUUCAAAAGCAAACACUUGCACACGCACCUGGGACUAAAUGGACUUAACUCAAUAAUCUGACAUUGCAAUUCAAUUUCAUAAUUCUUCUUCUUGUCAUUAAUAGAUUACAACUUGUUUGAUUACGUUUAUUAUCAUUGUUCACAAUCUCUUAUUUCUCAUACAUAUUGCUCUAGGGUAUGACUAUUCAAAUUCCAACAAAUGUAAUCGUUGUGUCACCAUUAUGCUUUUUUUCAUCUAGUGAAAAUAGAGAUACAAACUGUCAUAAUUAUGCGACUAUACUUAUACUGAAACCUUAGUGUUUGUUUGUAUCUUAUUGGAGGUAUUUACUGAGGAGACAUGAUAUUAUUUUGUAGUUUUGGACCCACAAAGGAAAGGUUAUAAAGAGUCAAUACAUCAUACUUUCAAAGUUGGUCUGUUAACUGCGUCAUGCCAUGAUGGGUGGCAUAUGGAAACGUUGUAUCAUCUGCUCAAUCUGACUUGCGUGCAUAGAACAAAUAAGCAUUUUUCCAUGAAAAAGUGAAGUUUUCUAAAAUGUGCGUUUC